CAGGAAGUUCCUGAAUGCGUGACUCAAACUGUAGGACAUGGGGGUUCAAAUAGAGGAUUUUAGGACUCACAGAAGCUGUAAACGUCCCGCUUUGCUAAACACUAAACUCAGUGCUUUGCUCACCACUGCACUGGCGAUGUUUUGGAUAU